rnacentral:misc_RNA from 1 species
GAUGAAGAACGCAGUGAAAUGCGAUACGUAAUGUGAAUUGCAAAUUCAGUGAAUCAUCGAGUCUUUGAACGCACAUUGCGCCCCCUGGUAUUCCGGGGGGCAUGCCUGUCCGAGCGUCAUUGCUGCCCUCAAGCACGGCUUGUGUGUUGGGCCCCGUCCUCCGAUCCCGGGGGACGGGCCCGAAAGGCAGCGGCGGCACCGCGUCCGGUCCUCGAGCGUAUGGGGCUUUGUCACCCGCUCUGUAGGCCCGGCCGGCGCUUGCCGAUCAACCCAAAUUUUUAUCCAGGUUGACCUCGGAUCAGGUAGGGAUACCCGCUGAACUUAAGCAUAUCAAUAAGGGAGGA